AAAAAACCCUGGAAUGAGACAAAAAGUGGCUGCUAAAAAUAUUGGGUUCUAUCUCCCCAUCAUAAAAAGAUAAACAAGACUAUGAGACACAAUUAUAAGGGCUUAAGGUUGGAGUUAGCGACUAGCGAUUGGGCUGAGGCUACGGUUAGAAGUUGAGACUAGCGGUUCAGGAUUAGCUUUGCGGUGAGGAUAUCUUGGUUACUGCACUCUUGCGCGUCGUCACUGGGUGGCAUGUUUGAAUGUCAACUGAAUGGCCUUGAUAUGUUGUAAUAUAUGAGCUAGCGGGACUUGCAUGUGGUUCAAGAUACUGUUCAUAGAUUUGUUCUCAAGCACAUAAAAUACAUCAGAUUGCUUAAGAAUACAAAAGAAUAACAGAGGACAUGGGAACAGAUCAUUAGAAAAUAUUAAAUUGACCAUAUUUGGAC